GCUUUCGUGGUGUAGUGGUCAGCGCGCUCGAUACGUAAUCGAGAGGUCCGUGGUUCGAUUCCUAGCGAAGGCG
rfam:Stegodyphus mimosarum contig26772, whole genome shotgun sequence.